rnacentral:rRNA from 1 species
AACGAACGCUGGCGGCAGGCUUAACACAUGCAAGUCGAGCGCAUCCUUCGGGGUGAGCGGCAGACGGGUGUGUAACGCGUGGGAAUCUACCUUUUGCUACGGAAUAGCUCCGGGAAACUGGAAUUAAUACCGUAUGUGCCCUUAGGGGGAAAGAUUUAUCGGCAAGAGAUGAGCCCGCGUUGGAUUAGCUAGUUGGUGGGGUAAAGGCCUACCAAGGCGACGAUCCAUAGCUGGUCUGAGAGGAUGAUCAGCCACAUUGGGACUGAGACACGGCCCAAACUCCUACGGGAGGCAGCAGUGGGGAAUAUUGGACAGUGGGCGCAAGCCUGAUCCAGCCAUGCCGCGUGAGUGAUGAAGGCCUUAGGGUUGUAAAGCUCUUUCGCCGGAGAAGAUAAUGACGGUAUCCGGAGAAGAAGCCCCGGCUAACUUCGUG